rnacentral:lncRNA from 1 species
UGGAAGGGCUCGAAACUAUUGGAAGGAAUAUCGGGAAGGGAAUGCACUCGUGGUAGUGAAGCGAGCAUCGGCAUCGUGUGGCCGCCGUUCAUCGGCCACCACAACCCAACCCGUUCGGAUAGAUAGCCGGUCGCCCGCCUCCCCCCUCCGUCUCUCCCCACCACCCCUCCACUGAGCUAGCCGCCGCUCUUCCACACCCACCCCUCCGGCUCCCCGCCUCGCACCCAUGGCGACGGCUCUGAUGGCUGCGGCCACCACCUCCUGCUCCCCGCGCCGCGCGGCGCCGCUCCUGAAGCCGAUGGCCUCCUCCUCGUCCUCGCCCAGCUCGGCGCGGGCGCGGCGGCCC